UCGAGAAUCUUCCGCAAUGCGCGCAAGCGUGACGGAGCAAUGCCGCGUGAGGGAUGAAGGCUUUCGGGUCGUAAACCUCUGUCAGAAGGGAAAAACAAUGAUUGUACCUUCAGAGGAAGCCACGGCUAACUACGUGCCAGCAGCCGCGGUAAUACGUAGGUGGCGAGCGUUAUUCGGAUUUACUGGGCGUAAAGGGUCCGUAGGGGGAUGAAUAAGUUUGAUGUGAAAUUUCGAGGCUCAACCUCGAACCUGCAUUGAAAACUGUUCAUCUGGAAUCCGGUAGAGGUAAGUGGAAUUUGUGGUGUAGCGGUGGAAUGCGUAGAUAUCACAAGGAACAUCAAAGGCGAAAGCAGCUUACUGGGCCGGUAUUGACCCUGAGGGACGAAAGCUAAGGUAGCGAAAAGG
rnacentral:rRNA from 1 species